CCUACGGGAGGCAGCAGUGAGGAAUAUUGGUCAAUGGACGAGAGUCUGAACCAGCCAAGUAGCGUGAAGGACGACUGUCCUAUGGGUUGUAAACUUCUUUUAUAAAGGAACAAAAUGAGGCACGCGUGCCUUUCCGCAUGUACUUUACGAAUAAGCAUCGGCUAACUCCGUGCCAGCAGCCGCGGUAAUACGGAGGAUGCGAGCGUUAUCCGGAUUUAUUGGGUUUAAAGGGUGCGUAGGAGGGAUGUUAAGUCAGCGGUAAAAGGUAGCGGCUCAACCGCGGCGAGCCGUUGAAACUGGGUGUAUGGAGAUGGAGAGAGGUAGGCGGAAGGCGCAGUGGAGAGGUGAAAUGCGUAGAUAGUGCGAAGAAAUGCGAUGGAGAAGGCAGCAUAGCGGCGGCGAUGGGACGCUGAGGCACGAAAGUGGGGGUAUCGAACAGGAUUAGAGACACUGGUAGUG
rnacentral:rRNA from 1 species